UAGAAGUUUUUCUGUUUUAGGGAUCUGAGUUUGUCGUAUUUUCCGCUUGGAAGGUUGUUAUUGCUUAUUUUCAGAAUAAUAGCUUCAUUUCGAGGGGCCUAAUUUAUGGAUUUCGCCUCGAGCUUCGACAAUCACCGGACCGGCCCUGGAAACAAACGCUGGGAAUCUUGAUCUCGUGUGGUGUAUAUAUACACACACUACAAGGAUGGCGGAUGGCACUUCAUUGGAGAGAAAUAUUUCCUAGAUUCUUGUAUACUUGCCUUGAUCAUUGCUCAAGGAUGACAAUGUGUAUAUUCUACUGUACAAUGAAAACGGUUGCAAUUUGAUAAUUAAUGGGAGGGGUGACCGUGGGGGGAACACA